GAUGAACGCUGGCGGCGUGCCUAAUACAUGCAAGUCGAGCGAACGGACGAGAAGCUUGCUUCUCUGAUGUUAGCGGCGGACGGGUGAGUAACACGUGGAUAACCUACCUAUAAGACUGGGAUAACUUCGGGAAACCGGAGCUAAUACCGGAUAAUAUUUUGAACCGCAUGGUUCAAAAGUGAAAGACGGUCUUGCUGUCACUUAUAGAUGGAUCCGCGCUGCAUUAGCUAGUUGGUAAGGUAACGGCUUACCAAGUCAACGAUGCAUAGCCGACCUGAGAGGGUGAUCGGCCACACUGGAACUGAGACACGGUCCAGACUCCUACGGGAGGCAGCAGUAGGGAAUCUUCCGCAAUGGGCGAAAGCCUGACGGAGCGACGCCGCGUGAGUGAUGAAGGUCUUCGGAUCGUAAAACUCUGUUAUUAGGGAAGAACAUAUGUGUAAGUAACUGUGCACAUCUUGACGGUACCUAAUCAGAAAGCCACGGCUAACUACGUG
rnacentral:rRNA from 1 species